rnacentral:rRNA from 1 species
AUGGAGGUUAAUCUUUCGGAUGUACCAGACACUAUGCAAUGGAAGCUUUCCAGGUCAGGUAUCUUCUCGGUUAAAUCCAUGUACACGGAUUUGAUUAAUACCGGGACUAUCCCGAGGAUGGUACAUAUUUGGAAAGUUAAGGUGCCCUUGAAGAUAAAAGUAUUUAUGUGGUUUGUGCAUAAGGGUGUCAUUCUUACUAAAGAUAACUUAGCUAAGCGUACGUUGGAAGGAAGUAAAAGAUGUUGCUUUUGUAAUCAAGAUGAAACAAUAGAACAUCUAUUUAUCAAAUGUUCGCUUGCUAAACUGCUUUGGAGAACUAUCCAUGUUACAUUCAACAUAACUCCACCUCUCACGAUAUCACAUUUGUUUGAUAACUGGUUGGCUGGAGUG